rnacentral:rRNA from 1 species
GAGGAAUAUUGGACAAUGGGCGCAAGCCUGAUCCAGCCAUACCGCGUGCAGGAAGACGGUCCUAUGGAUUGUAAACUGCUUUUAUACAGGAAGAAACAACUCUACGUGUAGAGUCUUGACGGUACUGUAGGAAUAAGGAUCGGCUAACUCCGUGCCAGCAGCCGCGGUAAUACGGAGGAUCCAAGCGUUAUCCGGAAUCAUUGGGUUUAAAGGGUCCGUAGGCGGGCUUAUAAGUCAGUGGUGAAAUCUCCCAGCUCAACUGGGAAACUGCCAUUGGUACUGUAGGUCUUGAAUUAUUAGGAAGUAACUAGAAUAUGUAGUGUAGCGGUGAAAUGCUUAGAUAUUACAUGGAAUACCAAUUGCGAAGGCAGGUUACUACUAAUAUAUUGACGCUGAUGGACGAAAGCGUGGGUAGCGAAC